GUUCAGAAUACAGCUGAGCCCAGAGAUUGCAUGGCACCAAGAGAGGUUUCUGUCAAGCCGUCCCGUUCCGAGAUGCCCCAUCGCACCAACGAAGCAACUGCUGAGCAGGUGAAUGGAGAAGGCCAUGCAUGUGUCCUGAGCUGAGCCAGUCAGAGCCCCUGCCCCGGACCCCAGAUGGAGAGGACAGCCCGCUCCAGGCAGCAGGAUCUGGAUAG